rnacentral:rRNA from 1 species
AGAGUUUGAUCCUGGCUCAGAAUCAACGCUGGCGGCGUGCCUAACACAUGCAAGUCGAACGAGAAAGUGGAGCAAUCCAUGAGUAAAGUGGCGCACGGGUGAGUAACACGUGACUAACCUACCCUUGAGUGGGGGAUAACCUAGGGAAACCUGGGCUAAUACCGCAUAAUACCUUCGGGUCAAAGGAGCAAUUCGCUUAAGGAGGGGGUCGCGGCCGAUUAGUUAGUUGGCGGGGUAAUGGCCCACCAAGACGAUGAUCGGUAUCCGGCCUGAGAGGGCGCACGGACACACUGGAACUGAAACACGGUCCAGACUCCUACGGGAGGCAGCAGUGGGGAAUUUUGCGCAAUGGGGGAAACCCUGACGCAGCAACGCCGCGUGGAGGAUGAAGCCCCUUGGGGCGUAAA